GGAGGGGUCUGAGGAAGGAGAAUGUCGGAGCUGGAGGAGGGGAGAGAACUCGCCCCUAGGGGCCGGUUUCAGGAGAGGAGGAGUCUAUUCCAGAAACUGUGUUCAAACCUGGGGAAGAUACUAGAGGCUCUCCAGGUUGGAAGAAGAGAAGCAUCAGCAUGCAGCUGGCACACCAGGGAGGGAGCUGCCUCGGAAAGUCAGAUCAGGACGUUGGAGGAGAUUGUCUCUAAGGUUCCCUUCGGUUCUAAGGUUCUGAGCUCCUAACCCCUUGGUGCCCUUGGUCAUGUUCUAAAGCUCUAACUUGUGGAGAGGUUCAGAUCUCCGUUGCUAGAGGGAGAACCUUCGUUGGGAUUUCUACACACCAGAGAAUUUCCAGACUUCAAUCAAUCCUCAUCACCUUAAUGCCUCCCGACUUAUCAAG
rnacentral:lncRNA from 1 species